CUGGAAAGGAGUAAUUUUCUCUUUUAGAGGGGAUGGAAGACCAAGCAGAUACUAUAUUAAAAAGUGCUACACAAUGAUGGUUGUUCUUGCAUAUCUUCUGCCACCGUUGCCUGGAAGUCGAUGCAAUGUUAAAUCUGAAAUUUCAUUUCUUUCAAUUUAAUUUUGUACCGCGUGGAGCCACUAUUACAUCCCUCUGCAGCAGUUUUGAGACCGCAUCAAAGACCAGACCACAGCCGAUCUACAUUGGAAGUUUGAAGAGCACAACAUGACAGUACAUCAUUACGAGGAUUGACAGAGUAACCAUUCCUGUGGAUGAGGGCCUGAUGUGCUGUGGACAAUAUAUUCUAGGUGUGAAACUUGUCCUGUCCACCACAGAUUAGUUUGGUCUUUUCUUUCUAAGACUGGAGCAUCUAAUAUUGAAACACCACAUUCUCUUCUU